rfam:Lachnoclostridium sp. An14 An14_contig_17, whole genome shotgun sequence.
CAGGAAACGCAGUUUCCUGUUAAAUAAGAAAGUAGGGCGGCAGCCCGGAUUUCGAAUGCCGUCGGCAGAUGGCGGGAACGCCGUAGGCGUGGAGCCAUCUGGCUUUCAUG